rnacentral:rRNA from 1 species
GACGUAGGAGGCGAGCGUUGUCCGGAUUCAUUGGGCGUAAAGAGCGCGCAGGCGGCUUGGUAAGUCGGAUGUGAAAUCCCGAGGCUCAACCUCGGGUCUGCAUCCGAUACUGCCCGGCUAGAGGUAGGUAGGGGAGAUCGGAAUUCCUGGUGUAGCGGUGAAAUGCGCAGAUAUCAGGAGGAACACCGGUGGCGAAGGCGGAUCUCUGGGCCUUACCUGACGCUCAGGCGUGAAAGCCAGGGGAGCAAACGGG